ensembl:lncRNA
AAAAAAAAAAAAAAAAAAAUUGUGAUUAGUUGCAGCAUUUGAGUUGUACAAAUAAUAUACUCCAAUGAAAAAGAAUAUAAGAAUAGAUAUGUUAUGAGCAAUUUGCAUAUGUAUUUAAAUAUUAUGCACAUGUCUGAUUUUUUUUUUUUUUUUUUUUUUUUUUUUUUUACCUUUUAAACAGGUAAUGAUGACAAAGAAAAAUGCAUAGAAAAAAACACUCGCUUGUUAAAAGAAUUGAUAACAAAUGAUAACAUAAUGGUAGAAGAUAUUUUAAACAAGUUCUGUAAAUCUAAUGAACUAUGGUUUCAUAAACUGUGGUUAAUUAAGUUUAGUUUAAAAAAUAAUUUAAUUCAUUUACGCGAUUUACUUAAUGAGCUAGAGUAUUGUAAAAAUUGUUUUUAUAAAGAUGAUAGGAACUACCAUUGUUGGAAUUAUCGGGCUUAUAUAAUAUCAUGUAUACAUAUAUAUAUUAAAAAGGAACAAUUGGAACGCCUUAAAAAAAAUUGUGAUGCAAAAAAAGAACAUGACCAUACCCACUCGUCUGACAUAAUUCCGUUUAAUCACACUUUUAACAUUCAUAAAGAGAAUUAUGAAUUGUCUAAUUUUCUGAUUGAGCAGAAUUUUUCCAAUUUCUCUGCAUGGUUUUUGAAAUAUUCAUUAGAAGAGUCUUUAAUAAAUAUAUCAGAUGAAAUAGAUUUGAUUAAGAAUGCUAUUUUUACUGACCCCUUUGAUCAGAGUCUAUGGGAGUUUUAUCAGUGGUUUUUUUUUAAGAAAGGGAAUCAUGAAGAGAAAAUUUUUUUUAUUCUUUUAGCGAAUAAUUGUUUUUAUAUAUUUUUUCAAAAUUUGAUUAAAAUAAAUUUAUCAAAAUGUAAAUGUUAUGAUAGUACAAAGAAUAAUGAAAUAAAAGGCAUAUGGGAUAAACAAAACAUAACUUUUUAUAAUUCCGACCAUAGUCCAGAAUCGUAUGUAUAUAUGUUUAAAAUUAAUCAAGAUGUAGAACUGUGUAAUUUUACCUUUUUAAAAUUUGUUCUAUAUUAUGAUAAAUAUAAUUUACAUCCAAUUGAUAUAAUACAUUAUGAAAAAAAUGUACUAAAAGAUUUGGUUAGUAAUAAUAAAUGUUUAUCCGAUAAAAAUAAGUUUGAGCAUAGUAUUGUGUAUGAAGUAGAUUUAAGCAAAUUUAUACAAUAUGUAAAUUUUAAGUUGUUAUUGAGUUGUGAUACCAGUACUAGCCUCAAUUGUCACAGCAACAUCGAAUAUAAUUGCGACACUGAAAAAACUCAUCACUUUAUCUACCAACCUAGUUAUACCAACCCAUAUGUCAAUUUUUAUAAAUAUAUAACCUUAACAAAUAUACGUUUAAAUACAUCUAAUCAUGUAAAUUUUGAUAUUCUUAAUUCGGAACUUGAAUUGAUUAAUGAUCUGUUGUACUCAGAAGAAGAUUGUAAGUUCGCACUGUUUACAAAAUUUGAAAUAUUAAAAAGGAUAGAAGAUUUUGAUCAGCUUUUCGAAAUUCUUGAACAGUUAAAAUCGGUUGACAGUAAUAGAGAAGGGUAUUAUACGGACAUGGAAAUAGAGCUAAGAAUACAGUAUAACUUUUUUUUUUUUUUUUUUUUUUCACUAUUUUCUGUUUUGUCUGUUUACACGAUUAAAAAUGGAGGCAUUACCUGCACGUGCUCCAUGCACAUUUAACUAAGUAUGUUCAUGUGUGCAUAUAUAUUAAAAACACGUACCCACGUUUUAUUU